AAGAAGCAGCCCAGCAGCAGCACUGCUCUGAGGGUGGAUAGUGUGGAGAAGAACGAGGCUGUGAUGUCUUCUGAGGUCAAGCAUACUGAGGACGGGACUUCGACAAAUGAAACUGUGAUUGAAGAAACAAGAAGAGCCAGAAGUAUUACCUCUUCCUCAGAGUGCAGCCCCCAGCCCCAUCCCCAGCCCUCUCCAAUAGACAGGAGCCCUACUGUUCCUGACCUGGCACAGGACAUGCAAGAACACCAAUCAGAGCUUGUGUCUGAGCGAGCUGACCAAUCACAUUUCAGCACCAAGCCGCCUCAGUCUAUGACCUCUGACCCUGCAGCCACAGCACUCUUGGUGCCUGUAAAACAGUUAGUUCCGCUUUCUGAGCCCCUGGGCCCUGCAGUGGAAUCCCCUCCAUCAAGAGAAGAAUUUGAUACGCUGGAAGAGAGAGCUCCUUCUACCAGGACCUCCACAUAUGACGCAGGAGUAGCCAGCAGCAAUUUCGGUUCCCCAGCAUGCCUCCCUCAGUCUUACGCUGACCCGGAAUUAAGAGACCCUGCAGCUGAAGGAGUAGAGAUCGCGCAGGCAACACCUGUCAGC